AGACUUCUUCUCCGCCAACCAAUCAGUGUUCACCUGGAGGUCGGUUAACGCACAGCGCUGUAGAUAAUCAUGACCUGCAGUUAGCUUCAUGGUGGGCAUGAAGGUAUCAGUGGGUACAACACAAGUCCCUGAGGGAACCUGAAAGCUUGAAAUGGAAACACCCAGAACCUUCUUGGUUUGGGGUUCCUUUAGAUCUACAUCUGUGGAGGACUCAACGGCAAUGAGUGCCUUUUCACGGCCGAGUGUUUCAAACCUCGUUACGAUCAGUGGACGCGAAUCGAACCGAUGCCCAUCCAAAGCAGUGUCGUGAGCAUCAUCGCUCUGAACAACCGAGUGUUUGCGGUAAGAACUUCCAGUGCUGAGAGUCAGUGAAGUGUCUGUAAUCGCUCUGUAAAGGAUGGGAAGGAGGCGUGUUUCUGUUAGCACGGUUUGUGGUCUUUUAUUAAUGCACAUCAUUAUGUUAUGUUCUUUUAUUAAUGCACAUUAAGCCCACAGUCUGCAGAGCGUCGAAGCCUACAACCCUCAUACCAACUCCUGGAGAAUGCUUGCCUCCAUGUUUAACCCACGAAGGAACUUUGGCGUCGAGGUGACGGACGGCCGCUUGUACAUGGUUGGCGGCUACAAGUACUACGACGAAGAGAGCGACGACUGGUUCAACGUCCAGGACAUGAAUAUCGUCCGCGGUGCGGUGAGCUGCUGUGUGAUAUCCGGGCUUCCCAACGUCACCAACUACACCAUCGCGUACGAUGACCUUCUCUAGACACGGAGCUUUUAAAACGCUAUUAAACUACAUCCCAUUGGCAGAA